rnacentral:rRNA from 1 species
UACGUAGGGGGCUAGCGUUGUCCGGAAUUAUUGGGCGUAAAGAGCUCGUAGGCGGCUUGUCGCGUCGACUGUGAAAACCCGCGGCUCAACCGCGGGCCUGCAGCCGAUACGGGCAGGCUAGAGUUCGGUAGGGGAGACUGGAAUUCCUGGUGUAGCGGUGAAAUGCGCAGAUAUCAGGAGGAACACCGAUGGCGAAGGCAGCUCGCUGGGACGUACUGACGCUGAGACGACGAAGCGUGGGGAGCAACAGG